rnacentral:rRNA from 2 species
UGCUGGGUGGAAGAGUGGCGAACGGGUGAGUAACACGUGAGUAACCUGCCCUGAACUCUGGGAUAAGCACUGGAAACGGUGUCUAAUACUGGAUACGACCUAUCACCGCAUGGUGUGUGGGUGGAAAGAUUUAUCGGUUUUGGAUGGACUCGCGGCCUAUCAGCUAGAUGGUGAGGUAAUGGCUCACCAUGGCGACGACGGGUAGCCGGCCUGAGAGGGUGACCGGCCACACUGGGACUGAGACACGGCCCAGACUCCUACGGGAGGCAGCAGUGGGGAAUAUUGCACAAUGGGCGCAAGCCUGAUGCAGCAACGCCGCGUGAGGGAUGACGGCCUUCGGGUUGUAAACCUCUUUUAGUAGGGAAGAAGCGAAAGUGACGGUACCUGCAGAAAAAGCACCGGCUAACUACGUGCCAGCAGCCGCGGUAAUACGUAGGGUGCAAGCGUUGUCCGGAAUUAUUGGGCGUAAAGAGCUCGUAGGCGGCUUGUCGCGUCUGCUGUGAAAUCCCGGGGCUCAACCCCGGGCCUGCAGUGGGUACGGGCAAGCUAGAGUGCGGUAGGGGAGAUUGGAAUUCCUGGUGUAGCGGUGGAAUGCGCAGAUAUCAGGAGGAACACCGAUG